CUUCCACACACCGGGCUGCUGCAAGCCCCGUCCGAGCCGGCCUUGAGCGCUUUCCGGGCUGGGGCAGCCGCAGCCUCUCCGGGAAACCUGUUCCGCUCCACGCCGGCUUUUCCGGAGUGUGUCACCGGCAGGAGCACGGCCCCGAGCGGGGCAGAGCCGUGCCAGGGGCUGCGUGUGGCUGCAGCGAGUGACUCAGGGUGACUUUGUUCCCUGUUUGUCUCUUACUCAUUCAUUAGCGCGGCUGGAGCCGCUCGCACCGGGAGCUCGGGGAGGCUCAGGGUGCCGUCCUUGCCUUCGAAAAGUGAUUCCGCUCUGGAGUUGCCGUGGAUUUGGGAGAGAACGCGGGAGCAGCGCCGAGGGAAGCCGCGCCGAGUCGUUGGGGGAUCCGGCUCUGCUCGCUAAGGCAGUUCUGUAAAAAUAGCAGCAAAACUUAAAUGCUGGUCGAGUGAGGAAUAUAAAUGUUGAAAUAGCAGCAAAGGUAUGGCUGGAGGAGAUCAGAAGUCGCUUGCUCAGCACCUUGGCGCUGCAAGGGUCCUUGAGCCCUGGCAGAUCCCCUCGCUCCUCGCCAGGGCGCUGAGACCUGCGCUGCACCGACGGGAACAUCUCAUUCUCUUCGGAGUCGAGGAUUUUUAAACCCUUGGAGUUACCUGAAGGUGCCUUUGAUGGUUUGGAGGAAUUGCCCUGGUGUCUGUGGAAGAAUAACAGAUACACCGAUGACUUUGGGGUUAGCUGCCAAACAGAUACACCAGUUGCAUUAAAUUUAUUGUAAAAAUGGGAAAACUGGCGAGGCACAACUUUUUGUCUUUUUUCCUGGCAAUCCUGACGUGCUGUUUCCCAAGGAAGUGGAAAAGCCUUACAAACGAAUGUUCCAAAAUACGGAAGACUCAGUGAGAAAUUUUCCAGAGCAAAUCAUCAGUAGUCAGAAAUUAUUGCCAAAUUUUCUCUGGUUUUGGGGGUUUUUC
rnacentral:lncRNA from 1 species